UUGCUUUCUCUUAUACAAUGGAGCAUUCACCAACUUUAGACAAUGUCAGUUAGGAAAUGGGGUGAAGAGCACACCCCUUCAGAUCUUUAUCAUCUCAGUUGCUUUCCUCUGAGGCUGACCCAGGUCUAUCCCUACUGGGAGGACAGGCAUGGAGUGCAUGAUGCUAUUCUUCUGAACAUGUAAUCUGGACAAGCCAGCUGAAGAACGUGCCUGGCAUCCCAGAGUCUCCUUCCUGAGAAGUUCACAGGAGUGAAUUGUCUUUGUGUCUCAAAGACUAUCAGUACACAGGUGUGAGUAGAAAGAGGCUGAAGGCAAAGUAGAGAACAUGGAUUCGGUAGGAGCAGGAAUGCCAUUUCCAGGGCUAGGUGGAAUGAGACCAAUUGAAAGUGGUUAAAAUUGGAAUGUGAUAUUGCUCCUGGGCUGUUGACUGUUAGGGAGCUAUGCCAGGCAUCCAUAGUGGAGAAAACCUGUUCCAAAGAUGAACCAAGAAAGUAUAGACCUCUGCAAUAGAUGAAAGCCAGGUCAACUGCUUGCUGUGAUAAGCCAACAAAGUGAACUAAGCCAAACUGAACAGAACGGAAUCAAACCAAACCAAAACAUACUGAGAUACAAAAAUAAUACAAGGCUGUGAAUAACAUCAACAUAGCAGAACAUGGUCACUGACUGGGAGAAACACCACUCCUCCAAAUGUACUAAUGACAGCAAUAGAGCCUUUAUUGAAGAUGAACUGAGUUCUGAAAUUGAGCCAGCAGGCUGGAAAGAAGAUAUAAAAUCAAAUCCGACUUUCAUGUGGAUUUCAGAAAUCUGUAUAUUUACUGACAUCCCAGGUGUCUGGAAGGAUAGCUGGGAGGCACAGAGAAGUUCUGCACAUUUAGAAAAAAAAUGACAGGAAUCUAGAACAGGUGUGUAGGCUAGAAUUUAUGACCAGCAAGCUUUCUAUGAUGCCAGCCAUCAGAAGUUCAGGGUAGAUCUUCUGAAAUUCUUUCUUCUUAAGGUAAGGGUUGCUAAGGUGGACUAAGGUAGCUUAUUAGGAUCAAUCUAGUGUUGUAAGCCCCACAGAAGAACAAUGCUGAGAAAAAAUGUGGAGGAAACCUGAAAUGACCACAGUGCCUUUCCCUGGGCAUUUUCUAUCUCCUUUGCUCAAAGCUUUUUUCUACGGUUAUCUUUUGCUAUUCAAUAGCUAUUGGACAUUUAAGUAAUGUGUCUGAAUAUGGGAAAUAGGUAACAACAUAAUUUAAAAGAUUAAGGAGCUGGGAAGUUCAAGAUAAUAAAUCCUUGCCUUGAUGUGUUUAAUCCAAGUCAGGGAGAGGUUUGACUGAAAGAAUUAGUGGAGAAUCUGCCGGCAAUGAAGAUGAAUCUCUUAUAGGGGAGGUAGUAGCAUGUUGGAAAUGCACACUGAGAUGGCAACUGAGAAUACUGCUGCAAACAGACUGAUUUUUUUUCUUUCCAAAUGAAUGAUCUUUGGAUAAAAUGCCCACAGAAUAUGAAA